rnacentral:rRNA from 1 species
AUUGAACGCUGGCGGCAUGCCUAACACAUGCAAGUCGAACGGAGGUAGGGGCAACCUUACUUCAGUGGCGGACGGGUGAGGAAUGCGUCGGAAUCUACCCUAUGGUGGGGGAUAACACAGGGAAACUUGUGCUAAUACCGCAUGAUGUCGAGAGACCAAAGCAGGGGACCGCAAGGCCUUGCGCGAUAGGAUGAGCCGACGCCCGAUUAGCUAGUUGGUAGGGUAAUGGCCUACCAAGGCGACGAUCGGUAGCUGGUCUGAGAGGAUGAUCAGCCACACUGGGACUGAGACACGGCCCAGACUCCUACGGGAGGCUG